UACGAAGGGGGCUAGCGUUGUUCGGAAUUACUGGGCGUAAAGGGCGCGUAGGCGGCCUCGUCCGUCCGGCGUGAAAUGCCUGGGCUCAACCCAGGAAUUGCGCUCGAUACAGCGAGGCUAGAGUGUGGGAGAGGUUGGUGGAAUUCCCAGUGUAGAGGUGAAAUUCGUAGAUAUUCGCAAGAACACCAGUGGCGAAGGCGGCUCACUGGCCCGAUACUGACGCUGAGGCACGAAAGCGUGGGGAGCAAACAGG
rnacentral:rRNA from 1 species